rnacentral:rRNA from 1 species
CCUACUGGAGGCAGCAGUGAGGAAUAUUGGUCAAUGGACGCAAGUCUGAACCAGCCAUGCCGCGUGCAGGAAGACGGCUCUAUGAGUUGUCAACUGCUUUUGUACGAGGGUAAACGCAGAUACGCGUAUCUGUCUGAAAUUAUCGUACGAAUAAGGAUCGGCUAACUCAGUGCCAGCAGCCGCGGUAAGACGGAGGAUUCAAGCGUUAUCCGGAUUUAUUGGGUUUAAAGGGUGCGUAGGCGGUCGGAUAAGUUAGAGGUGAAAUCCCGAGGCUCAACAUCGGAAUUGCCUCUGAUACUGUUCGGCUAGAGAGUAGUUGCGGUAGGCGGAAUGUAUGGUGUAGCGGUGAAAUGCUUAGAGAUCAUACAGAACACCGAUUGCGAAGGCAGCUGACCAAGCUACUUCUGACGUUGAGGCACGAAAGCGUGGGGAGCAAACAGGAUUAGAUACCCCGGUAGUC